AUGAAAGCAGGAGAAAGUUUCAAAUUACAGCCUGGGGAAGAAUUGUCACUGUCUGUAUCUGAGAUCACUGAGGGCACACAACAAGAAGCAGAACAUCAGGCAGAAAAAACAAAGGAGGAGAAAGGAACAGGAAAAGCAGGAGAACGUUUCAAAUCUCAACCUGGGGAAGAAUUGUCACUGUCUCUAUCUGAGAUCCCUGAGGGCACACAACCAGAAGCAGAACAUCAGGCAGAAAAAACAAAGGAGGAGAAAGGAACAGGAGAAGCAGAACAUUUCAAAUCUCAACCUGGGGAAGAAUUGUCACGGUCUCUAUCUGAGAUCCCUGAGGGCACACAACCAGAAGCAGAACAUCAGGCAGAAAAAACAGAGGAGAAAGGAACAGGAGAAGCAGAACGUUUCAAAUCUCAACCUGGGGAAGAAUUUUCACGGCCUCUAUCUGAGAUCACUAAGGGCACACAACCAGAAGCAGAACAUCAGGCAGAAAAAACAAAGGAGGAGGAAGAAACAGGAGAAAGUUUCAAAUCUCAACCUGGGGAAGAAUUGUCACUGUCUCUAUCUGAGAUCACUAAGGGCACACAACCAGAAGCAGAACAUCAGGCAGAAAAAACAAAGGAGGAGGAAGAAACAGGAGAAAGUUUCAAAUCUCAACCUGGGGAAGAAUUGUCACUGUCUCUAUCUGAGAUCACUGAGGGCACACAACCAGAAGCAGAACAUCAGGCAGAAAAAACAAAGGAGGAGGAAGAAACAGAGAGUGAAGCUGGAGAAACAUAUAAAGGUCUAGCUCAAACUGAAGGUGGUUUAGAUGGUAACAUCAUACCAAAGGAGAAUUCUUUGGUUGGGAUUAGCUUUAAAGAGGUUCCAGAGGCUCAGCAGACAACUGAAGUUGGGGAGAAACAGCCAGAGGAUGAGAGUUCAGCAGAGGCCUUACAGACUGAAAAAUUAGAAAUGCAACAGAAAGAAGAGUCAGGGAAGCUCACUGCAACAGACCAAGACAUAUCUGAUACACAGGAGCAUGAUAAACCUGAUACUGAUCGAGUAGAAAAGCCAUCAAAUAUAAUGAAAGAGAAUAUGGACACAAAUGACCUUGAUGAUGAUGAGAUGGAAAAGGGUGUUAAAACAACCAGCUUAUCAGAUCAGCCCACCACCGAGGCAGAAAAAGCAAGCCAAGAGGAUGAAACCGGUCACCAAAAGGAAGAGACACAGUCGAAUGAUCCAGACAUUAAAGAAGAUGAGAAGACAGAGCAAGUUAAAGAAGAUAAGGAGGAAACAUAUACAGAAGGUGACAAUGAGGUGGAGAAUCAAGAAAUUAAUGAUGGCGAAGCAGAAAAUGAUUCAUCACAAGUUACCCAGUCAAACACAAUGGCUGUAAUGGAGGCAGAGAGUGAAUCCUUUGAGGAAAGUGCACCACGUCCCGCAGAGAAGGACGAGGAGAGUCGGAGGACACUUGUGCAGUCACAGCCGGAGGAUACAGCAGGAGAGAAAGAGGUCACAUCAAAGGCAGCAGAGGAACCUACAGAAGGAAUGAUUGAUUCUGAGGCAAGUAAAAAAAUCUGCCCCCACUGUUCUACCGUUAUUGAUUGA
ensembl:lncRNA